rnacentral:lncRNA from 10 species
GUUAAAAGGGACAAAAAGGAAUUUUUUUGUAUUUUACAUUCAGUCCUUUUCAUGGAAUAGAAUAUUUUAAAACAACUUUGGCUUGAAUUUUUAAUUAUCAUAUUUAGAAAUCCUGCUUUUAUGAAAAUACAGAACCCUCACUCUGUGGCUUACAGACAAUAGUAGUAUAUUAUGUAGGGUAGCCUAAACAAUGGUUGAUUAUUGUGUUUGUGUAUAUUUCAUUCUCUCUGAAUUGGACUUGAGAGGCAAACUUUGUCUUUAAACCUUUAGCUGUUGCUUUCUGGACCUUUGUAUUGCCUAAGGGAUGCAAACUUCUUGGAAAGUAGAACCAUAAAGUUGUAAAUGAACAAGGGAAGAAAUAGAAAAUAUAAUUUUUGUCUUCAUUAAUGUUUCUAAAGUAGACAGUAAUUUCACAAUUACAGUAUCCACUCUCAUGAAAUUUACUAACUACAUUAAUGAGCAAAUGUGAAGCUGUUUUGCUAAUGUGGAAAUUAAAUUUUUUAAAACAAAACUUUUUUAUUCUGUCACCAAAGAAAGAAGCACAUUGGUUAUGUUAAUAAAAAUAAUAGAAUAAACAGUCA